rnacentral:rRNA from 1 species
UCGACAUCUCAUAAUCAGUGAAAACGAGUAGGGCGGGACACGUGAUAUCCUGUCUGAAUAUGGGGGGACCAUCCUCCAAGGCUAAAUACUACUGACUGACCGAUAGUGAACCAGUACCGUGAGGGAAAGGCGAAAAGAACCCCUGUGAGGGGAGUGAAAUAGAACCUGAAACCGUGUACGUACAAGCAGUAGGAGCACCUUCGUGGUGUGACUGCGUACCUUUUGUAUAAUGGGUCAGCGACUUAAUUUUAGUAGCAAGGUUAACCGUUUAGGGGAGCCGUAGGGAAACCGAGUCUUAACUGGGCGUACAGUUGCUAGGAUUAGACCCGAAACCAGGUGAUCUAGCCAUGGGCAGGUUGAAGGUUGAGUAACAUCAACUGGAGGACCGAACCGACUAAUGUUGAAAAAUUAGCGGAUGACUUGUGGCUAGGGGUGAAAGGCCAAUCAAACCUGGAGAUAGCUGGUUCUCCCCGAAAGCUAUUUAGGUAGCGCCUCGGACGAAUACUACUGGGGGUAGAGCACUGUUAAGGCUAGGGGGUCAUCCCGACUUACCAACCCUUUGCAAACUCCGAAUACCAGUAAGUACUAUCCGGGAGACACACGGCGGGUGCUAACGUCCGUCGUGGAGAGGGAAACAACCCAGACCGCCAGCUAAGGUCCCAAAGUAUAGCUAAGUGGGAAACGAUGUGGGAAGGCUCAGACAGCCAGGAUGUUGGCUUAGAAGCAGCCAUCAUUUAAAGAAAGCGUAAUAGCUCACUGGUCGAGUCGGCCUGCGCGGAAGAUGUAACGGGGCUAAGCUAUACACCGAAGCUGCGGCUACGUACCUUA